GUUUGCCCAGCAGGUCCCAGUUCAGACAUGCUGGUCUCUUGCCUGCCUUUCCUGACUUGCUACACCUGGGGAUGGAGAGUUCCUGUGCUCUGAGAAAAGCCUCCUUAAGAAUCUGCCGUCUCUGCUCCAAACCCUUGCCAUGAGGACAGCUUCCCAGUGUGCUUUGUUGAUUAACUCCCUGAUGAACUGCAACAGCCUCCUGGAUUGCCUGCAGCUCGCUGUGCUACUGUUCCAGCAGAUCUCAGGGUGGUUGAAGCCCUCUAGCAGGAUGAGCACUUGUGAUUGUGGUGCCUUGUGCAGUUGGAGGUAGGAAGCCUCACUGACAGGCUCUGACUGACCUGGUGGCCUCUUGUAGAUACCAAUGAUAAAACUUCCUUUGCUGCCUCAGUCUCUGUCACCCAUAGGCUUUUGACUUGCUUGAGAUUGUUUUGUGUUGUUUUUUUUUUUUUUUUUUUUGCAAAAAUGAAUUUGGUGCAGUGCUGGAA